rnacentral:rRNA from 1 species
UACGUAGGGGGCAAGCGUUGUCCGGAUUUAUUGGGCGUAAAGAGCGUGUAGGCGGCCAUGUAGGUCCGUUGUGAAAACUCGAGGCUCAACCUCGAGACGCCGAUGGAAACCAUGUGGCUAGAGUCCGGAAGAGGAGAGUGGAAUUCCUGGUGUAGCGGUGAAAUGCGCAGAUAUCAGGAAGAACACCCGUGGCGAAGGCGGGUCUCUGGGGCCGAUACUGACGCUGAGGAGCGAAAGCGUGGGGAGCAAACAGG